rnacentral:rRNA from 1 species
GAACSGCCCACACUGGGGAYUGAGMCACGSCCCAGAYUCYUACGGGRRGCAGCAGUAGGGAAUCUUCCGCAAUGGGCGAAAGCCUGACGGAGCAACGCCGCGUGAGUGAUGAAGGUUUUCGGAUCGUAAAGCUCUGUUGCCAGGGAAGAACGUCCGGUAGAGUAACUGYUACCGGAGUGACGGUACCUGAGAAGAAAGCCCCGGCUAACUACGUGCCAGCAGCCGCGGUAAUACGUAGGGGGCAAGCGUUGUCCGGAAUUAUUGGGCGUAAAGCGCGCGCAGGCGGCUAUUUAAGUCUGGUGUUUAAACCUUGGGCUCAACCUGAGGUCGCACUGGAAACUGGGUGGCUUGAGUACAGAAGAGGAAAGUGGAAUUCCACGUGUAGCGGUGAAAUGCGUAGAUAUGUGGAGGAACACCAGUGGCGAAGGCGACUUUCUGGGCUGUAACUGACGCUGAGGCGCGAAAGCGUGGGGAGCAAACAGGAUUAGAUACCCUGGUAGUCCACGCCGUAAACGAUGAGUGCUAGGUGUUUAAGGGGUUUCGAUACCCUUGGKGGCCGAAGUUAACACAGUAAGCACUCCGCCUGGGGGAGUACGGUCGCAAGACUGAAACUCAAAGGGAAUUGACGGGGACCCGCACAAGCAGUGGARAUAUGUGGGUUUAAUUCGAAGCAACGCGAAGAACCUUACCAGGUCUUGACAUCCCUCUGAAUCUGCUARARAAUAGCAGCGGCCUUCGGGACAGARGAAGACAAGGKGGUGGCAUGGGUUGUCGUCASCUCSUGKCSUGAGAWGGUUGGGGUUAARUCCCSCMACSAAGSGCAACCCUUUAAMUUWAKUUGCCASCAAGGUAAWGSUGGGSRCCUCCUAKAAGUGRCUGGCCGGUGRMAAACCRCGARGA